rnacentral:rRNA from 1 species
GACGAACCGUCCAAACGUUAUUCGGAAUUACUGGGCUUAAAGGGUUCGUAGGCGGCUUUGUAAGUGAGAUGUGAAAUCCCACGGCUCAACCGUGGAAGUGCAUUUCAUACUGCAAGGCUUGAGGGAGACAGAGGUAAGCGGAACUGAUGGUGGAGCGGUGAAAUGCGUUGAUAUCAUCAGGAAUACCGGAGGCGAAGGCGGCUCACUGGGGGUUUUCUGACGCUGAGGAACGAAAGCCAGGGGAGCGAACGGG